CUUUUUUCAAGAUAACUGAAGCACAGCCACCUUCUACAGGUGCACAGGGCCCACAGGAAAGUCCACUCAUCUGUGACCUGCCACUCAAUGCAAGUGCAGCAUGUUCUGGGCAGCUGCUCUGAGCUGCUUCACUUUUAUUUCCCAGGCCUAGCAGGCUCCAGGGUGAGGCCUCCCAGGGCACACAGGCCAGGCUCUCUAAGCCCUUGAAGGUAUAUUUCUCUGUCUUGAGGAUGGAAAGGGAAUCCCCUACUGCCCUGUGUACCCCAUCCCAGUACUUGGGGGAAUCGUUCCCUUUCUGAUCUCUGAGUGAAGUUCUUAGCAGCGCCUAUAUAGCCUCCAGAGGCUGAUACUCAAGAGUCCCCACGCUGGCUUUUUUGGAUCAUUCUUAAGCGAACUCUGCAUAGAUGAUUUACAGCUGUUCUUUAGACCAUGUGGGCAUCUAACAUUUUAUGUUCUCAGCUUGGGACCUCAUCUGAAAUGGAGACAACAGGAAAAUUUGGAUGUUAACAUCCUGUGAUGAUAACUUGGAGGUUAAAGGAGGCCAUUACUGGCUGGGCAUGGUGGCUCACACCUGUAAUCCCAGCACUUUGGGAGGCCAAGGCAGG
rnacentral:lncRNA from 1 species